rnacentral:rRNA from 1 species
AUUGAACGCUGGCGGCCGGCCUAACACAUGCAAGUCGAACGAGUGGCGGACGGGUGAGUAAUGUCUGGGAAACUGCCUGAUGGAGGGGGAUAACUACUGGAAACGGUAGCUAAUACCGCAUACCAUCGGAUGUGCCCAGAGGGGAUUAGCUUGUUUGUGAGGUAAUGGCUCACCUAGGCGACGAUCCCUAGCUGGUCUGAGAGGAUGAUCAGCCAAACUGGGACUGAGACACGGCCCAGACUCCGACGGGAGGCAGCAGUGGGGAAGAUUGCACAAUGGGCGCAAGCCUGAUGCAGCCAUGCCGCGUGUAUGAAGAAGGCCCUAGGGUUGUAAAGUACUUUCAGUCGGGAGGCGUUACCGACAGAAGAAGCACCGGCUAACUCCGUGCCAGCAGCCGCGGUAAUAC